rnacentral:misc_RNA from 1 species
GUGUAAGGAGGGUAAUGUGGGGAGGUAAGAGUUAUAACUAUUUUAAUUCUUACACCCCUUAAAUUUACCAUUCUUUAAUCUCUUUCCAAACAUAAAAAAUUAUAUAUUAGAUCUCUUUACCUUUCCGUUAAUUCACCCCUUUCUAAAUAUGAAUUUUUUAUAUUAUUAUAAUCCUCUUUACCCUUUCUUACCCUUCCAUUGGUUAUUCUUCCCUCACUCUAUCCAAACAUAACCUGUUAUGACAUGAACUAUCUCAUAAUUUUAACAGUUAACAGAAAUAUUCAGA